GUCUGGGUAGCUUAUAUAAAGUGUAACAUUGAAGCUGUUAUGAAGAGGGUGGUCCCUCCCCAGGCG
rnacentral:tRNA from 1 species